rnacentral:lncRNA from 1 species
UUAUGGGCUAAAUUCAGCCCUCUUAUAUUCCAUGUAACAAUUAUCAUAUAUAUGAGGGACCAGGAUCAUGCUGGCCUUUCCUACCAGCAUCAAUUACCUCCAUUUUAGCUUUUCCCCUGUUGCAGUUGUCCACCAAAUCUGCUUCUGUACUCCUAGGUAAAUCAUCAUUAACCAUUGCUACCUCUGAGUUGACAUCAACAGCAUGAUCA